GUCUCCGUGGCGUAAUUGGCUAGCGCGUUCGACUGUUAGUCAUCAUAACAUGUUAUCGAGAGGUUCCAAGUUCGAUCCUUGGCGGGGACG